rnacentral:antisense_RNA from 4 species
CUUUAUGGCGGCCAUGCGCGGGAGAUCCUCGGAUCUGCUGAGUGGCCUGGUAGCUCGGUCUUGCACACCCGCGUAUGGCUGCCACCCUU